UAGGAAGACAUACUGAACAAGCCCCGGGGU
rnacentral:piRNA from 1 species